GAGUGAUCAUUACUCGGAGGAGGCCUUCGGGCUCGACCUCCAACCCUUUGUGAACACAACUUGUUGCUUCGGGGGCGACCCUGCCGUUUCGACGGCGAGCGCCCCCGGAGGCCUUCAAACACUGCAUCUUUGCGUCGGAGUUUAAGUAAAUUAAACAAAACUUUCAACAACGGAUCUCUUGGUUCUGGCAUCGAUGAAGAACGCAGCGAAAUGCGAUAAGUAAUGUGAAUUGCAGAAUUCAGUGAAUCAUCGAAUCUUUGAACGCACAUUGCGCCCCUUGGUAUUCCGAGGGGCAUGCCUGUUCGAGCGUCAUUUCACCACUCAAGCCUCGCUUGGUAUUGGGCGCCGCGGUGUUCCGCGCGCCUCAAAGUCUCCGGCUGAGCUGUCCGUCUCUAAGCGUUGUGAUUUCAUUAAUCGCUUCGGAGCGCGGGCGGUCGCGGCCGUUAAAUCUUUCAUAAGGUUGACCUCGGAUCAGGUAGGGAUACCCGCUGAACUUAAGCAUAUCAUAAGCGGAGGAGUUUCGAAUGAGGGCUUCGGUCACUCAACCUUGGGGAACAACUGUUUGUUGGGGGGGACUGCUUUCAGGCGCGAGCUUCAGAUUGGUGGAUUUUAAUAAUUACAAUUUCACACAUUUGGUUGGUGCUAAAAAAGAAGCACACAAGGGAAAUAAUGGAACACAUUUAACAUGCCGGUUCAGGGG
rnacentral:rRNA from 1 species